rnacentral:rRNA from 1 species
UGGGGAAUAUUGGACAAUGGGCGCAAGCCUGAUCCAGCCAUGCCGCGUGAGUGAUGAAGGCCUUAGGGUUGUAAAGCUCUUUCAGUAGGGAAGAUAAUGACGGUACCUACAGAAGAAGCCCCGGCUAACUUCGUGCCAGCAGCCGCGGUAAUACGAAGGGGGCUAGCGUUGUUCGGAUUUACUGGGCGUAAAGCGCACGUAGGCGGAUCGUUAAGUCAGGGGUGAAAUCCUGGAGCUCAACUCCAGAACUGCCUUUGAUACUGGCGAUCUAGAGUCCGGAAGAGGUGAGUGGAACUCCUAGUGUAGAGGUGGAAUUCGUAGAUAUUAGGAAGAACACCAGUGGCGAAGGCGGCUCACUGGUCCGGUACUGACGCUGAGGUGCGAAAGCGUGGGGAGCAAACA